rnacentral:rRNA from 1 species
CUAAGAAUAUUUCCGCAAUGGACGAAAGUCUGACGGAGCGACGCCGCGUGGAUGAUGAAGGCCGAAAGGUUGUAAAAUCCUUUUGAACUGGAAGAAUAAGCAGUGUAGGAAAUGACAUUGUGGUGACGGUACAGUUUGAAUAAGCAACGGCUAAUUACGUGCCAGCAGCCGCGGUAACACGUAAGUUGCGAGCGUUGUUCGGAAUUAUUGGGCGUAAAGGGCAUGUAGGCGGUUAUCUAAGCUUGGUGUGAAAGGCAGGGGCUCAACUCCUGGACUGCAUUGAGAACUGGAUAACUAGAGUUA